GAUGAACGCUGGCGGCGCGCCUAACACAUGCAAGUCGGACGAUUAAAGCACCUUCGGGUGUGUAUAAAGUGGCGAACGGCUGAGUAACACGUGGGCAACCUGCCCCUUUCAUUGGGAUAGCCACGGGAAACCGUGGAUAAUACCGAAUACUUCGAGACUUCCGCAUGGAAGACUCGAGAAAGCUCCGGCGGAGAGGGAUGGGCCCGCGGCCUGUUAGCUUGUUGGUGGGGUAACGGCCUACCAAGGCAAUGAUGGGUAGCUGGGUUGAGAGACCGACCAGCCAGAUUGGGACUGAGACACGGCCCAGACUCCUACGGGAGGCAGCAGUGGGGAAUCUUGCACAAUGGGCGAAAGCCUGAUGCAGCGACGCCGCGUGCGGGAUGAAGGCCUUCGGGUUGUAAACCGCUUUCAGCAGGGACGAGGCGAAAGUGACGGUACCUGCAGAAGAAGCCCCGGCUAACUACGUG
rnacentral:rRNA from 1 species